rnacentral:rRNA from 1 species
GUCUACGGCCAUACCACGUUGAAAGCACCUGUUCUCGUCCGAUCACUGAAGUUAAGCAACGUCGGGCUCGGUUAGUACUUGGAUGGGUGACCGCCUGGGAACACCGAGUGCUGUAGACU